rnacentral:rRNA from 1 species
GGCCACAGCCAUAUCAGCCUGCAGCCCAAGACCAGCUCACUAAAGCUAGGCAGGGAUGAGCCUGUUUAGUACCUGGAUGGGAGACCACAUGGGAAAACUAGGUUGCUGUUGGAA